GCCGGGAGGUUGAACAUCCUGCAUAGUGCUGCCAGGAAAUCCCUAUUUCAUAUAAGAGGGGGCUGGCUGGUUGCAUAUGUAGGAUGUCCCAUCUCCCAGCCCACUUCGUCA
rnacentral:pre_miRNA from 13 species